AUUGAACGCUGGCGGCAGGCCUAACACAUGCACGUCGAGCGAGAGGCGGACGGGUGAGUAAUGUAUGGGGACUGCCCGAUAGAGGGGGAUAACUACUGGAAACGGUGGCUAAUACCGCAUACUAUCGGAUAACCCAUAUGGGAUUAGCUAGUAGGUGGGGUAAAGGCUCACCUAUGCGACGAUCUCUAGCUGGUCUGAGAGGAUGAUCCGCCGCACGGGUACUGAGCCACGGCCCAGACUCCUACGGAGGCAGCAGUGGGGAUGAUUGCACAAUGGGCGCAAGCCUGAUGCAGCCAUGCCUCGUGUAUGAAGAAGGCCUUAGGGUUGUAAAGUACUUUCAGCGGGGAGGCGUUACCCGCAGAAGAAGCACCGGCUAACUCCGUGCCAGCAGCCGCGGUAAUUC
rnacentral:rRNA from 1 species